rnacentral:rRNA from 1 species
GACGUAGGUGGCGAGCGUUAUUCGGAUUUAUUGGGCGUAAAGGGUUCGUAGGGGGCUAGUUAAGGCUGAGGUGAAAGCCCACGGCUCAACUGUGGAAUGGCCUUAGCGACUGACUGGCUAGAGGACCGGCGAGGAAAGUGGAAUUCCGGGUGUAGCGGUGGAAUGCGUAGAUAUCCGGAGGAACACCAACGGCGAAGGCAGCUUUCUGGACGGUUUCUGACCCUGAGGAACGAAAGCCGGGGGAGCAAACAGGAUUAGAUACCCUGGUAGUCCCGGCUGUAAACGGUGUGGACUCGGUGUGGGGGGAGUUGGUCCCUUCCGCGCCUGAGCUAACGCGUUAAGUCCACCGCCUGGGGAGUACGGCGGCAACGCUAAA